rnacentral:rRNA from 1 species
AAUAUUAGUCAAUGCUCGAAAGAGUGAACUAGCUAACUGAAAUCAAUUAAAAUAAUUGAUAACAUAAGGGAGAAUAAUGAUAUUACCUUAUUAUUAGUGUCGUCCAAAACUGGUGCCAGAAGACUCGGUAAGGCCAGAGACACAAACGUUAAUCGUCUUAAUCAGGCGUAAAGGGUUUGUAGGCGGCUUUAAAAUUUAGUUAAUAAAUAUAAUUAUUAGGUAAAGAAUAAAAGCUAGAAUCAAAUAGAGGAUAUAUUAAAUAAUGCUUAGAGUAGGUCUGAUAUCUUUAGAUACUAAGUAGAAUAUUAAAGGCGAAAGCUUUUUUCCAUUAAUGAUUGACGCUCAGAAACGAAGGUGAGGAUAGGAAAUAGGAUUAGAUACCCAGAAUACCCCUCUCUGUCAACGAUGAAUGGUAGUUAUUAGUAGAAAUUAUUAAUGGCAAUGUUAACACGAUAACCAUUCCGCCUUGUGAGUACAACUGCAAAGUUGAAAACAAAAAAAUUAGUCGGUUUCGGAGCAAACGAAGUGAAGCAUGUUAUUUAAUUC